rnacentral:rRNA from 1 species
GACGAACGCUGGCGGCGUGCCUAAUACAUGCAAGUCGAACGCUUCUUUCCUCCCGAGUGCUUGCACUCAAUUGGAAAGAGGAGUGGCGGACGGGUGAGUAACACGUGGGUAACCUACCCAUCAGAGGGGGCUAACACUUGGAAACAGGUGCUAAUACCGCAUAACAGUUUAUGCCGCAUGGCAUAAGAGUGAAAGGCGCUUUCGGGUGUCGCUGAUGGGUGGACCCGCGGUGCAUUAGCUAGUUGGUGCGGUAACGGCUCACCAAGGCCACGAUGCAUAGCCGACCUGAGAGGGAGAUCGGCCACACUGGGACUGAGACACGGCCCAGACUCCUACGGGAGGCAGCAGUAGGGAAUCUUCGGCAAUGGACGAAAGUCUGACCGAGCAACGCCGCGUGAGUGAAGAAGGUUUUCGGAUCGUAAAACUCUGUUGUUAGAGAAGAACAAGGACGUUAGUAACUGAACGUCCCCUGACGGUAUCUAACCAGAAAGCCACGGCUAACUACGUG